rnacentral:rRNA from 1 species
AGCGAGGUUAACCGUAUAGGGGAGCCGUAGAGAAAUCGAGUCUUAAUAGGGCGUUUAGUUGCUGGGUAUAGACCCGAAACCAGGCGAUCUAUCCAUGAGCAGGUUGAAGGUUGGGUAACACUAACUGGAGGACCGAACCCACUGUCGUUGAAAAGCCAGGGGAUGACUUGUGGAUAGGGGUGAAAGGCUAAUCAAGCCUGGUGAUAGCUGGUUCUCCCCGAAAGCUAUUUAGGUAGCGCCUCGGACGAAUACCAUAGGGGGUAGAGCACUGUUUCGGCUAGGGGGUCAUCCCGACUUACCAAACCGAUGCAAACUCCGAAUACCUAUGAGUACUAUCCGGGAGACAGACUGCGGGUGCUAACGUCCGUAGUCAAGAGGAAAACAAUCCAGACCGCCAGCUAAGGCCCCAAAAUCAUAGUUAAGUGGGAAACGAUGUGGGAAGGCAUAGACAGCUAGGAGGUUGGCUUAGAAGCAGCCACCCUUUAAAGAAAGCGUAAUAGCUCACUAGUCGAGUCGGCCUGCGCGGAAGAUGUAACGGGGCUAAAACUAUGUGCCGAAGCUGCGGAUGUAUACUUUGUAUACGUGGUAGGGGAGCGUUCUGUAAGCCGAUGAAGGUGUGUUGAGAAGCAUGCUGGAGGUAUCAGAAGUGCGAAUGCUGACGUGAGUAACGACAAAACGGGUGAAAAACCCGUUCGCCGAAAGACCAAGGGUUCCAGUCCAACGUUAAUCGGGGCUGGGUGAGUCGACCCCUAAGGCGAGGCCGAAAGGCGUAGUCGAUGGGAAAAUGGUUAAUAUUCCAUUACUUCUGUGUAAUGCGAUGAGAGGACGGAGAAGGCUAAAUCAGCCUGGCGUUGGUUGUCCAGGUGAAAGGAUGUAGGCAUGUAUCUUAGGCAAAUCCGGGGUACUCUAUGCUGAGAUCUGAUAGCAAGCUGUACUUGUACAGCGAAGUGGUUGAUGCCAUGCUUCCAGGAAAAGUCUCUAAGCUUCAGUUACACAGGAAUCGUACCCGAAACCGACACAGGUGGUCAGGUCGAGUAGACCAAGGCGCUUGAGAGAACUCUGCUGAAGGAACUAGGCAAAAUGGUACCGUAACUUCGGGAGAAGGUACGCUGUUGUUGGUGAUGGAACUCGCUUCCUGAGCUGACGACAGCCGCAGAAACCAGGCCGCUGCAACUGUUUAUUAAAAACAUAGCACUCUGCAAACACGAAAGUGGACGUAUAGGGUGUGAUGCCUGCCCGGUGCUGGAAGGUUAAUUGAUGGGGUUAGCGUAAGCGAAGCUCUUGAUCGAAGCCCCAGUAAACGGCGGCCGUAACUAUAACGGUCCUAAGGUAGCGAAAUUCCUUGUCGGGUAAGUUCCGACCUGCACGAAUGGCAUAAUGAUGGCGGCGCUGUCUCCAGCAGAGGCUCAGUGAAAUCGAAAUCGCUGUGAAGAUGCAGUGUACCCGCGGCUAGACGGAAAGACCCCGUGAACCUUUACUGCAGCUUGACACUGAACUUUGACCUUACUUGUGUAGGAUAGGUGGGAGGCUUUGAAGCUGGAACGCUAGUUCCAGUGGAGCCGUCCUUGAAAUACCACCCUGGUAAUGUUGAGGUUCUAACUCUGUCCCGUGAUCCGGGACGAGGACCGUGUCUGGUGGGUAGUUUGACUGGGGCGGUCUCCUCCUAAAGAGUAACGGAGGAGUACGAAGGUGCGCUCAGCGUGGUCGGAAAUCACGCGUAGAGUAUAAAGGCAAAAGCGCGCUUAACUGCGAGACCCACAAGUCGAGCAGGUACGAAAGUAGGUCUUAGUGAUCCGGUGGUUCUGUAUGGAAGGGCCAUCGCUCAACGGAUAAAAGGUACUCUGGGGAUAACAGGCUGAUACCGCCCAAGAGUUCAUAUCGACGGCGGUGUUUGGCACCUCGAUGUCGGCUCAUCUCAUCCUGGGGCUGAAGCAGGUCCCAAGGGUAUGGCUGUUCGCCAUUUAAAGAGGUACGCGAGCUGGGUUUAGAACGUCGUGAGACAGUUCGGUCCCUAUCUACCGUGGGCGCUGGAAAUUUGAGAGGAUCUGCUCCUAGUACGAGAGGACCAGAGUGGACGAACCUCUGGUGUACCGGUUGUGACGCCAGUCGCAUCGCCGGGUAGCUAUGUUCGGAAGGGAUAACCGCUGAAAGCAUCUAAGCGGGAAGCCUACCUCAAGAUAAGAUUUCCCUAGGACUUUAUGUCCUCUAAAGAGCCGUUCGAGACUAGGACGUUGAUAGGUUGGAUGUGGAAGCAUAGUGAUAUGUGAAGCUGACCAAUACUAAUUGCUCGUGAGGCUUGACUAU